rnacentral:rRNA from 1 species
UACGGAGGGUGCAAGCGUUGUCCGGAUUCAUUGGGUUUAAAGGGUGCGCAGGCGGGACAUUAAGUCAGGGGUGAAAGACGGUUGCUCAACAAUCGCAGUGCCUUUGAUACUGGUGUUCUUGGGUGACCUUGAGGUAGGCGGAAUGGGUGGUGUAGCGGUGAAAUGCAUAGAUACCACCCAGAACUCCGAUUGCGAAGGCAGCCUACUGGAGGUUUACCGACGCUCAGGCACGAAAGCGUGGGGAGUCAAACAGG